GCCGAGGUGGCGAAAUUGGUAGACGCAAAGGACUUAAAAUCCUUCGAGCUUUACGCUUGUGCCGGUUCGAGUCCGGCCCUCGGCACCA
rnacentral:tRNA from 1 species